rnacentral:tRNA from 1 species
AGACUUUUUAACUAUAUAAGUAUAUAUUUUGAAAAUAUAAAAAAGAGAAUUUCUCUAAAAGUCUU